rnacentral:rRNA from 1 species
UACGGGGGGAGCAAGCGUUGUUCGGAUUUACUGGGCGUAAAGGACGCGUAGGCGGCCAGCACAAGUCAGUUGUGAAAUCUCCGAGCUUAACUCGGAAAGGUCAACUGAUACUGUGCGGCUAGAGUGCGGAAGGGGCAACUGGAAUUCUUGGUGUAGCGGUGAAAUGCGUAGAUAUCAAGAGGAACACCUGCGGCGAAGGCGGGUUGCUGGGCUGACACUGACGCUGAGGCGCGAAAAGCUAGGGGGAGCGAACGGG